rnacentral:lncRNA from 10 species
CCUAGGUUGUCAGAUUCUUCAUCAAUCUCAGAAAAGAUAAUAAAAAAGAAGACAUCAAGUUCAUGUUUGGCUAUAGGGAGAGCAAGUAACUUUCAGGGAAAAAAAAAAUUAUACCAGUACAUCAGGGCAGGGCUCAAGACCUUACAGUGGAAGAGUUAUGCUCUCCAUAAACAAUAUGACCUUCCAGGAGAGAAGAAAGAAUAGCGAUGACGACUGAAGACAUCAAUUCUUCAAAUAGAUACUUCGUGUCUGUAGAACGCAGGUCUCCUAUUUCCUAGUUUGUGUUUCUUCCAAUAAACUCCUUGAAAGCUCA